CCUACGGGGGGCUGCAGUGAGGAAUAUUGGUCAAUGGACGAGAGUCUGAACCAGCCAAGUAGCGUGAAGGAUGACUGCCCUAUGGGUUGUAAACUUCUUUUAUAAAGGAAUAAAACGAGGCACGUGUGCCUUUUUGCAUGUACUUUAUGAAUAAGGAUCGGCUAACUCCGUGCCAGCAGCCGCGGUAAUACGGAGGAUCCGAGCGUUAUCCGGAUUUAUUGGGUUUAAAGGGAGCGUAGAUGGUUUGUUAAGUCAGUUGUGAAAGGUUGCGGCUCAACCGUAAAAUUGCAAUUGAUACUGGCAGUCUUGAGUACAGUUGAGGUAGGCGGAAUUCGUGGUGUAGCGGUGAAAUGCUUAGAUAUCACGAAGAACCCCGAUUGCGAAGGCAGCUUACUAAACUGUGACUGACAUUGAUGCUCGAAAGUGUGGGUAUCAAACAGGAUUAGAUACCCCUGUAGUC
rnacentral:rRNA from 1 species